rnacentral:tRNA from 1 species
UCCCUGGUCGCUUAGAUGGUAAAGCGUCUGCCUACAAUGUGGGAGACCCAGGUUCAAUCCCUGGGUUGGGAA